GUCAAUGAUGUAAUGAUGUCAGGUGAUGCUGAGUGUGCAGGUGUGAACGACAGAGAGACGGUCCCAUCCUCGGAGAUCUUCAAGUAUGAUAACACAUCCACACAGCUCAGCAAGCGGACAGUUCUGCACAUCUACAGACCCUGAUCUACCUUGGAGCCCUGGGGAUCCCCUGGAUUCUGACCUCCUGGAACUGGGGAACAACAUGUCUCCCUGAAGACCCUGUCCUUCCCAGUACCUGAGACGGAGCCCCCUGAA